UGAUUAGGUAUUUAUUAAUUUUAUUUCAUCAUUCAGGCUGAGGUCGAUGUAUCCCUGCCUCUGAUCGUUCUCGGCCUGCUGUCCUUCAUACACGCCUUCUUAACUCUCGGCUUACCGGAAACGUUGGACCAAGACCUUCCAGAGACCCUGCAGGAAGGCAACGAUUUUGGCAAAGAGCAGAACUUCUGGUGGAUUCCAUGUAUAUCCUCGAGUAAAAUGUUGAAGAAAUCGUAUAGGAAAAAGAAAGGUCUGUCGAACCCGGCAUUCAACGGCAGCGUACAAAAACUCGACUGCACUAGAUUAUAGCGACUGAUCCGGUCGUGCGAAACUUGCCAAAUCUUUUGUAAAUAUAGUCGUACAAACCUUG